GUGCUCGCUUCGGCAGCACAUAUACUAAAAAACUGGAACGAUACAGAGAAGAUUAGCAUGGCCCCUGUGCAAGGAUGACAUGCAAAUUCGUGAAGCAUUCCAUAUAAAA
rnacentral:snRNA from 1 species